GACGAACGCUGGCGGCGUGCUUAACACAUGCAAGUCGAACGGUAAGGCCCCUCGGGGUACACGAGUGGCGAACGGGUGAGUAACACGUGGGUGAUCUGCCCUGCACUUCGGGAUAAGCCUGGGAAACUGGGCCUAAUACCGGAUAGGACUCCUGGCUUCAUGGUUGGGGGGGGAAAGCUUUUGCGGUGUGGGAUGGGCCCGCGGCCUAUCAGCUUGUUGGUGGGGUAAUGGCCUACCAAGGCGACGACGGGUAGCCGGCCUGAGAGGGUGACCGGUCACACUGGGACUGAGAUACGGCCCAGACUCCUACGGGAGGCAGCAGUGGGGAAUAUUGCACAAUGGGCGCAAGCCUGAUGCAGCGACGCCGCGUGAGGGAUGACGGCCUUCGGGUUGUAAACCUCUUUCAGCACCGACGAAGCGCAAGUGACGGUAGGUGCAGAAGAAGGACCGGCCAACUACGUGCCAGCCGCCGCGGUAA
rnacentral:rRNA from 1 species